UAAAAUGUGAAUCGGAUGAAUCGGUUUCUAAUAAUUUAUGAAGGAAAUUGGAAUAUUUUUAGAAUUCAAUUAGAUAGAAAAUAGAUAAAUAUAAAUUUUUUUGUUGUCGAAGAUCAUUUUUGUUAGAACCCUCUCUUUAUUUCAUUUUAAAGAAUUCAUUAGUCGUGCAGUAACACGGAAAAAUAAUAGCAAUAAUAAAUACUAAAAACACAAAUUCUUUCUUAAAGGACACAAAAAAGCUAC
rnacentral:lncRNA from 1 species